UUGCUUCAGCAGCAUAUGUACUAAAAAUGGAAUGAUACAGAGAAAACUAUCAUAGCCCCUGUGCAAGGAUGAUGUGCAACUUCAUGAAGCAUAUUUUAUUAAU
ensembl:snRNA U6 U6 spliceosomal RNA